rnacentral:tRNA from 1 species
CAUUAAGAAACUUAAAUGCAAGUUAUGGUCUCUUAAACCAAAAAUGGUAAAGCAAAUACCCUUAAUGG